rnacentral:rRNA from 1 species
GAUCCUGGCUCAGAUUGAACGCUGGCGGCAUGCUUUACACAUGCAAGUCGAACGGCAGCAUGAGGAGCUUGCUCCUUGAUGGCGAGUGGCGCACGGGUGAGUAAGACAUCGGAACGUGUCCUUUUGGUGGGGAUAACUGUCCGAAAGGACAGCUAAUACCGCAUAAGACCUGAGGGUGAAAGCGGGGGAUCGCAAGACCUCGCGCGAAAGGAGCGGCCGAUGGCCGAUUAG